GACGAACGCUGGCGGCGUGCUUAACACAUGCGAGUCGAACGGAAAGGCCCUGCUUUCGUGGGGUGCUCGAGUGGCGAACGGGUGAGUAACACGUGAGUAACCUGCCCUUGACUUUGGGAUAACUUCAGGAAACUGGGGCUAAUACCGGAUAGGAGCUCCUGCUGCAUGGUGGGGGUUGGAAAGUUUCGGCGGUUGGGGAUGGACUCGCGGCUUAUCAGCUUGUUGGUGGGGUAGUGGCUUACCAAGGCUUUUACGGGUAGCCGGCCUGAGAGGGUGACCGGCCACAUUGGGACUGAGAUACGGCCCAGACUCCUACGGGAGGCAGCAGUGGGGAAUAUUGCACAAUGGGCGGAAGCCUGAUGCAGCAACGCCGCGUGCGGGAUGACGGCCUUCGGGUUGUAAACCGCUUUCGCCUGUGACGAAGCGUGAGUGACGGUAAUGGGUAAAGAAGCACCGGCUAACUACGUG
rnacentral:rRNA from 1 species